AGGUGUUUGAUGUUGGUGAAUUUGAUUUGGAUGCAUAAAAAUGUUUUUAACUCUGUCAAUUUUGGAUUUAUGUCUCACGAAUGUUGCUGGGGCAUGUGCGGCCGUAUCUGGUCAAUUAUGCUGGAAGGCAUCCAUGAUGGCACGUUGCUGAGACUGCAUGAGAUCUAACACCACUGGAGAGGUGGAUCUUAUUUCCUCCAUCAAUCCUUCUGCAUGUUGUGCUGACAGGUUCAUAUUUGCAAUACAAAUUAUCCCAUAUAUAACAUUGGAGAAUUAGGGCAAGAGGGGAUACAGCCCAGGAGGACAUCUACAAUAAAGUUUUUUUUACCUUACCAUCUCAUAUGUCCCUUAGUGUGAUUAUGUGCAAUAGCCAAUAGGUAUAACUGCUGGUACCAAUUUAGUCAAGUUACAAGUAGUGACUAUAUGCUUUCCAGGGUCAUCUCAUGUCAAUCCAAUCAAAUCUUUCAGCUCCUGGACGAGCUGAUGAUUAUUUCAGAUGAAGAACUGAGUGAUAUCUAUCGUUGAUUUUAAAUGAUAUUGUUUCUUUC